rnacentral:rRNA from 1 species
GACGAACCGAGCGAACGUUGUUCGGAAUCACUGGGCUUAAAGGGCGCGUAGGCGGGCCAUCAAGUCGAGGGUGAAAGCCCCCAGCUCAACUGGGGAAGUGCCUCCGAUACUGGUGGUCUCGAGGGAGAUAGGGGCGUGCGGAACUUCCGGUGGAGCGGUGAAAUGCGUAGAUAUCGGAAGGAACACCGGUGGCGAAGGCGGCGCGCUGGAUCUCUUCUGACGCUGAGGCGCGAAAGCCAGGGGAGCGAACGGG